rnacentral:lncRNA from 1 species
UGGACACAUACCCUUAUAGCUUAACUUAACAUUAUUUUUUCUGUGUGUCUCACCAUAAACAGAAGAGACAUAGUUGAUGCGCAAUAAAAAUUAACAUUACUUCUGUCUCUAAUGCUAUCAUGUAUAUAAGACACAUACCCCAUAGCUUUACAUAACAUUACUUCUGUGUUAAUGCUAUCAUGUGUACAAGACGCAUACCCCAUAGCUUCAUCUGAUUGUUUCCUGAUUUUUUCACCAUAAACAGAAGAGUUGAUGUGUAAUAAAACCAGUAAACUGAUACAAUACAAACAUGUCUACGUAUCAUUUGCUGGAAACU